rnacentral:rRNA from 1 species
UACGUAGGGGGCGAGCAUUGUCCGGAUUUAUUGGGCGUAAAGCGCGCGCAGGCGGUUCGUUAAGUCCGAUGUGAAAGCUCCCGGCUCAACUGGGAGAGGUCUUCGGAUACUGGCGAACUCGAGGGAGGCAGAGGAAGGUGGAAUUCCGGGUGUAGUGGUGAAAUGCGUAGAGAUCCGGAGGAACACCAGUGGCGAAGGCGGCCUUCUGGGCCUUUCCUGACGCUGAGGCGCGAAAGCGUGGGGAGCGAACCGG